ensembl:lncRNA
CUGGCCUGUUUCUUUUCCUUUCUGUUGUCAUGGAUAUGCUACAUUUGCUAAACUAAAAGUGAUCCCAUCAAAGUCAUAUCAUUAUCAGUGCACACUUGGAAAAUUACAACAUGGCCUCUAAAAGGAUUCAUUUGUUAUUCAAAUAAAAAAUGAAUUUGCACCAGGGUGCUUUGCAUUAGCUGUGGCUAAUGCUGUCAAAUAUAUUCAGUUUUGGGUUGGACAACUUGUAAGGGCUGUCGGUGGGCUUUCUGUGCUACAGUUUUGCAUUGACAGCUAAAUUGAUCUGAUUUCUUAAGCUUCUGUGUUUAAGAGAAUGGUGACUCCAGCAGUGCUCUUCAGUCUCAAAUACUUUCUGAGCGUGAAACAUACAUAUAUAUGUGUGUACACACACAAUAUCUCAGACCAUAUAACAUGGAUUAAGAAGUAAAUAGGCUCUAUUUUGAUUUCAUGUUGACUUAAAAUAUUUAUUUCCAUGUACAUCAGUGAACUGACAACAUUAAAAUGUGUGAAUUAUGGUAAUGUGGUAAUGUCAUAAACAGGAUAUGAUGCAUCUCAUGCUAUCAAAUUCAUAUUUGGAUGACAUAUUCUCUUUUUUUAGUCUUCUUGUUGGCGUUGCAUGCACCUUACCCUCACUGUCUCUAUCAUUCUCCGCCUGUCUCUCUGCGUUCCCUUUCUCCCUUCUGUUAGUUCACAGCUGUCACUCUCUUGCUGUCUCACAUACAACAGUUCGUCACCAUCUGUAAAGGUGCAGAGAAAAGAGAGAGGCAAUAUUCAAAUAGAAAUACUACACAGACACAUUCUGUAUAUGCAUGGUAUUCUUCAAAAUAAUAUACUCAAUUGUAUGUUAUUUUCCAGUAUUAUUCAAAUAUAUUUUUUUUCAUGUUUUUUCAUGGAGAGAGGGCCAACAAGAUUGGGGCGUGAUGCAAGCUGUAAUGCUGAAUCCUUUCUGUCAUUGUGGGCUGUAAUGGGCAGGAAGCUGCAGGAGUUGGCCCAGUGACAACCUCCAAAAGAGCCCUGAACCCCCUCCAUACACACACACCCCUCUGUCAGGCUGGGCCAGGAAGAAAAGCACUUCACAGAGAACAAGAGGGAGGAAGACAGAGAAAGAGUGAGUAAGAUAAAGGGAAAGCAAGCCCAGCUGUAAGCACACAACGCCAGUGAGGGCUUGGCUGAAGCUCAAGGCUGCUCCAAACGAGUGCCUCCAUUUUUUUCCCCCUCUCUUUUUGAAAGCGGGUUGCACUACGGAGCUGGAGGUGAGGAGAGGGGCACGCAGAGGGGGAUUAGACAUUAAUGCAUUUCUUCACCAGCUUAAUCCUUAUGAUUACACCACAAAUAAAUAAAACUUAGGCCUAUUUUAUCUUUUCGAU